GACGAACGCUGGCGGCGUGCUUAACACAUGCAAGUCGAACGGAAAGGCCCUGCUUUUGUGGGGUGCUCGAGUGGCGAACGGGUGAGUAACACGUGAGUAACCUGCCCUUGACUUUGGGAUAACUUCAGGAAACUGGGGCUAAUACCGGAUAGGAGCUCCUGCUGCAUGGUGGGGGUUGGAAAGUUUCGGCGGUUGGGGAUGGACUCGCGGCUUAUCAGCUUGUUGGUGGGGUAGUGGCUUACCAAGGCUUUGACGGGUAGCCGGCCUGAGAGGGUGACCGGCCACAGGGGAACGGAGACACGGGCGAGAGGCCUACGGGAGGCAGCAGUAGGGAAUGGGCGGCAAUGGGCGGAAGCCGGACGGAGCAACGCCGCGUGAGUGAUGAAGGUCUGCGGAUCGGAAAACUCGGGUAUGAGGGAAGAACAAAUGUGUAAGUAACUAGGCACGUCGUGACGGUACCUAAUAAGAAAGCCACGGCUAACUACGUG
rnacentral:rRNA from 1 species